rnacentral:rRNA from 1 species
UACGUAGGCAGCGAGCGUUGUUCGGAGUUACUGGGCGUAAAGCGUGCGUAGGCGGUGUUCCAAGUCUGUUGUGAAAUCUCCCGGACUUAACUGGGAGGGUGCGGCGGAAACUGGACGCUGGAGUGCGGAGAGGUAAGCGGAAGUUCCUGGUGUAGCGGUGAAAUGCGUAGAGUAUCAGGAGGAACACCAAUGGCGAAGGCAGAUCUCUGGGCCGUAACUGACGCUGAGGAGCGAAAGCAUGGGAGCGAACAGGAUUAGAUACCGUG